rnacentral:rRNA from 1 species
AGCGUAGUCGAUGGAAAACAGGUUAAUAUUCCUGUACUUCUAGUUAUUGCGAUGGAGGGACGGAGAAGGCUAGGCCAGCUUGGCGUUGGUUGUCCAAGUUUAAGGUGGUAGGCUGAGAUCUUAGGUAAAUCCGGGAUCUUAAGGCCGAGAGCUGAUGACGAGUUGCCUUUAGGCGACGAAGUGGUUGAUGCCAUGCUUCCAAGAAAAGCUUCUAAGCUUCAGAUAACUAGGAACCGUACCCCAAACCGACACAGGUGGUUGGGUAGAGAAUACCAAGGCGCUUGAGAGAACUCGGGUGAAGGAACUAGGCAAAAUGGCACCGUAACUUCGGGAGAAGGUGCGCCGGUGAGGGUGAAGGACUUGCUCCGUAAGCCCAUGCCGGUCGAAGAUACCAGGCCGCUGCGACUGUUUAUUAAAAACACAGCACUCUGCAAACACGAAAGUGGACGUAUAGGGUGUGACGCCUGCCCGGUGCCGGAAGGUUAAUUGAUGGGGUUAGCUAACGCGAAGCUCUUGAUCGAAGCCCCGGUAAACGGCGGCCGUAACUAUAACGGUCCUAAGGUAGCGAAAUUCCUUGUCGGGUAAGUUCCGACCUGCACGAAUGGCGUAACGAUGGCGGCGCUGUCUCCACCCGAGACUCAGUGAAAUUGAAAUCGCUGUGAAGAUGCAGUGUAUCCGCGGCUAGACGGAAAGACCCCGUGAACCUUUACUAUAGCUUUGCACUGGACUUUGAAUUUGCUUGUGUAGGAUAGGUGGGAGGCUUUGAAGCGUGGACGCCAGUUCGCGUGGAGCCAUCCUUGAAAUACCACCCUGGCAACUUUGAGGUUCUAACUCAGGUCCGUUAUCCGGAUCGAGGACAGUGUAUGGUGGGUAGUUUGACUGGGGCGGUCUCCUCCUAAAGAGUAACGGAGGAGUACGAAGGUGCGCUCAGACCGGUCGGAAAUCGGUCGUAGAGUAUAAAGGCAAAAGCGCGCUUGACUGCGAGACAGACACGUCGAGCAGGUACGAAAGUAGGUCUUAGUGAUCCGGUGGUUCUGUAUGGAAGGGCCAUCGCUCAACGGAUAAAAGGUACUCCGGGGAUAACAGGCUGAUACCGCCCAAGAGUUCAUAUCGACGGCGGUGUUUGGCACCUCGAUGUCGGCUCAUCACAUCCUGGGGCUGAAGCCGGUCCCAAGGGUAUGGCUGUUCGCCAUUUAAAGUGGUACGCGAGCUGGGUUUAGAACGUCGUGAGACAGUUCGGUCCCUAUCUGCCGUGGACGUUUGAGAUUUGAGAGGGGCUGCUCCUAGUACGAGAGGACCGGAGUGGACGAACCUCUGGUGUUCCGGUUGUCACGCCAGUGGCAUUGCCGGGUAGCUAUGUUCGGAAGAGAUAACCGCUGAAAGCAUCUAAGCGGGAAACUUGCCUCAAGAUGAGAUCUCACUGGAGCCUUGAGCUCCCUGAAGGGCCGUCGAAGACUACGACGUUGAUAGGUUGGGUGUGUAAGCGCUGUGAGGCGUUGAGCUAACCAAUACUAAUUGCCCGUGAGGCUUGACC